CCGACCUUAAGCUCAGUUGGUAGAGCGGAGGACUGUAGUUAUCCUUAGGUCGCUGGUUCGAAUCCGGCAGGUCGGA
rnacentral:tRNA from 1 species